CCUCAAUUAGAAUCUAAAAAUUUAUAAGCUCUCCAUUCUCUCAAAAAUUUUCUCUAGUUAAAUCCUCCAUUGAUGAACUUCAAGCUCCAAGGAAGAAGAUCAAUUUCUCCAAGUUUUCAAGCCUAAUUUCGUGGGAUUUCUUCAAUUAAGUGUAGGUGACAAGUGAGGAUUCUCUUAGAAGUUGAAGCUUGGGAAAUAUCAUUCUCUGAAGAUUGCUAUGUCCUCAUAUGUUCGAGGACGUGGAUUAUGUUUUAGUUUUCCUUUUUCAAAGACUUUGUAAUAGACUAUAGUUUCUUUUCAAAUUGAUGUAACGGUUGUGCCCUAUCAUGUUAUAAGUGCUAAGAUGACUUAGUUCUUUCUUAUAUUUCUAUAAAAGAGUUUGAUUAUUAUUGUGAAAAGUUUUAAUUCCGCACUACUUUCCAUAUAUGUGCAAUGAAUGAAUUCUAAGAGGUUUGUACAAGACCUCCGAGAGCUCGAGUACGCCGCAUGACAACUUGGGACAUAGAGAUUCCAAGACAACCUCUUCGUAUCUGAA